rnacentral:rRNA from 1 species
CCUACGGGGGGCUGCAGUGGGGAAUAUUGGACAAUGGGGGCAACCCUGAUCCAGCCAUGCCGCGUGUGUGAAGAAGGCCCUCGGGUUGUAAAGCACUUUCAGUGAGGAAGAACGCCUGGUGGUUAAUACCCAUCAGGAAAGACAUCACUCACAGAAGAAGCACCGGCUAACUCCGUGCCAGCAGCCGCGGUAAUACGGAGGGUGCGAGCGUUAAUCGGAAUUACUGGGCGUAAAGCGCGCGUAGGUGGCUUGAUAAGCCGGUUGUGAAAGCCCCGGGCUCAACCUGGGAACUGCAUCCGGAACUGUCAAGCUAGAGUGCAGGAGAGGAAGGUAGAAUUCCCGGUGUAGCGGUGAAAUGCGUAGAGAUCUGGAGGAAUACCAGUGGCGAAGGCGGCCUUCUGGACCGACACUGACACUGAUGUGCGAAAGCGUGGGUAGCAAACAGGAUUAGAUACCCUUGUAGUC